UCCCGAUUAUAUUAAAAGGUUUUUUUACGUAUUUUCGAAUAUGGAGAAAUAUCUCUGUCUCUUCCAUCUGAGUCAAAGAACUAGUCUCUUUCUCUCGAAUGGGAGUGUGCUUUCUUUUUCUUUUUCUUUUCGAAAAGUGGAAGCGUGCUUGCCUUUCUCACUCUCAAGUGGAAGGGUGCUUUCAUUUUUUUUAUUAUUAUUGUUAUUUUUUUGUUCCAAAAGUGAAAGUUUCACCGAUCCGAGCCAAUCCAAGAUCUGAAUCAAAGAACUCGCUAAAGUGUUUCACAGAUCUCGAGUUUCACCGAUUCGAGAUUCUGGAUCGGGAGUUCGGAGCUUCACCAACCCGAGAUCCGAAUCGAAAAACUCGCCAAGGAGUUUCACAGAUCCUGAGAUCUCGAGUUUGAGGUGUUUCACAGAUCUUGAAUUCUGGAUCAAAGAACUCCCUAAGGUGUUUGAAGGUGUUUUACAGAUGUUGAGAUCUUGUUCGCAGAUCUUGCAAUCUGGAUCAAAGAACUCGCUAAGGUGUUUCACAGAUCUUACGAUGAGAUCUGGAUCAGAGUUUCAAGGUGUUUCAUACAUCUUGAGAUCUUUCUUACAGAUCUUGCGAUGAGAUCUUGUUCGCAGAUCUUACGAUCUGGAUCAAAGUUUCAAGGUGUUUCAUACAUCUUGAGAUCUCGUUCACAGAUCUUAAGACGAGAUCUGGGUUAAAAGUUUCAAGGUGUUUCAUAAAUCUUGAGAUCUUGUUCAAAGAUGGAUCCUGUUCACAGAUCAUGAGAUCUGGAUCAAUGUUUCAAGGUGUUUCAUAGAUCUUGAGAUCUUGUUCAUAGAUCUUGCGAUCCGGAUCGACGUUUCGGGGAUCAAAGAACUGGCUAAGGUGUACAGGGGUUUCGCAGAUCUUGAUAUCUGGAUCAAAGAACUCGCCUCAAAGCGCAAAGUCGAAGAUACGAACUCGCUAUCGAGCAGAACCUCAAAUGCCGAAUCGGCGCAAAGUCAAAGAUGCGUAUCCAGCAAUUGCUGAAUCGCUGAGCUGGGGAAGCGAGGAGAGGGAGGGGAAGGGGAUGAUGAGUGGACUGAGCAGAAGGCUGAGCCGAGGGAAGGGAGGAGAGGGAGAGGAAGGGAA
rnacentral:lncRNA from 1 species